CAGCGGCAGACGGGUGAGUAACACGUAGGUGAUCUACCCCAGAGACGGGGAUAACGGGUGGAAACAUCCGCUAAUACCGGAUAGACUUGUUCGGUCAAAGGGACAAGGAAAGGCUCCGGCGCUCUGGGAGGAGCCUGCGCCCAUCAGCUAGUUGGCGGGGUAACGGCCCACCAAGGCAAAGACGGGUAGGGGGUGUGAGAGCAUGGCCCCCCACAAUGUGACUGGAACACGGCCCAUACUCCUACGGGAGGCAGCAGCAGGGAAUAUUGCACAAUGGACGGAAGUCUGAUGCAGCGACGCCGCGUGGAUGAAGAAGGCCCUCGGGUUGUAAAAUCCUUUACAGGGGGAAGAGGAAGGACGGUACCCCUGGAACAAGUGUCGGCUAACUACGUGCCAGCAGCCGCGGUAAGACGUAGGACACAAGCGUUAUCCGGAUUUACUGGGCGUAAAGCGUCUGCAGGGCGGACAGGUAAGUUGGGCGUGAAAGCUCCGGGCCCAACCCGGAGAGGUCGUUCAAUACUGCGUGUCUAGAGGGUGUCAGAGGGGAGUGGAAUUUCCGGAGUAGCGGUAAAAUGCGCAGAGAUCGGGAAAGAACACCAAUGGCCGAAGGCAGCUCCCUGGGGCAACCCUGACGCUAAGAGACGAAAGCUAGGGGGAGCGAACAGGAUU
rnacentral:rRNA from 1 species